rnacentral:RNase_P_RNA from 2 species
AGAGCUGGCUCAGUGGUUGCAAAGAUUCAGGCAUCGCCUACAUCUUUGAGGAAAGUCCGGGCUCCCCAAAAGCCAAACUUGCUGGGUAACGCCCAGUGCGGGCGACCGUGAGGAGAGUGCCACAGAAACAUACCGCUAACGGGAAGGAUGAAGGCUAACACUUCUGACUUCUACGAGUAAGGGUGCAAAGGUGCGGUAAGAGCGCACCGGCAGCAUCGAGAGGUGCUGGCCAGGUAAACCCCGGUUGGGUGCAAGGCCAUAGGAGUGACGGUUGGCUUUUUACCAGCUCCGACAAAGCGCGCCGCUAGAGGCGUCUGGUAACAGGCGUCCCAGAUAGAUAACCACCCUAUAGGCUUUUUAAAAAGCCCAAUAGGAACAGAACCCGGCUUAGGUCCAGCUCUACCU